rnacentral:rRNA from 1 species
AGUGAACGCUGGCGGUAGGCCUAACACAUGCAAGUCGAACGGCAGCACAGUAAGAGCUUGCUCUUACGGGUGGCGAGUGGCGGACGGGUGAGGAAUACAUCGGAAUCUACUUUUUCGUGGGGGAUAACGUAGGGAAACUUACGCUAAUACCGCAUACUACCUACGGGUGAAAGCAGGGGAUAUUCGGACCUUGCGCGAUUGAAUGAGCCGAUGUCGGAUUAGCUAGUUGGCGGGGUAAAGGCCCACCAAGGCGACGAUCCGUAGCUGGUCUGAGAGGAUGAUCAGCCACACUGGAACUGAGACACGGUCCAGACUCCUACGGGAGGCAGCAGUGGGGAAUAUUGGACAAUGGGCGCAAGCCUGAUCCAGCCAUACCGCGUGGGUGAAGAAGGCCUUCGGGUUGUAAAGCCCUUUUGUUGGGAAAGAAAAGCAGCAGGUUAAUACCCCGCUGUUCUGACGGUACCCAAAGAAUAAGCACCGGCUAACUUCGUG